UACAUGUUUGGAUCUAACUUUAGUUCCUAUUCUAGCUCCUAUCUCACGGGAAAGUAAAUAUGAUAAUGUAUAUCAAAGCAGCAUAUACGUAGCAGGUAUUCAGAUAAUGUACUACGUUUUCCCUUCAUUCGGUGCCAUAAAGUUCAUGUCUUUUUAAAAAAAGGUAAAAAAUAGUAUUUGCUUCUUUCUCAGGAAUAUGUAACGAGUCCUUGCUUACAGAAUCAGUUUUCUGUAUUCCAGAUCACAUUCAGGUCUAGCUUUUGAAAUUGUGGCACGUUUGCUCCUCCCUGAGCAUAGCAACAUGGUGGCAAAAAGAAUACUCAUGGCCUGGAGCUCUGCUGUGAUGAUUCACCACAGGAGAAUGGUCAGAAGAACCAGGCCUAGAAAGAAGCUCACCCAUGGGCGAGUGAGCCGCAUGUGAAACUGCUUUCCUGUUGGAAGAGUGCUCCACUACACCGGUGACAUCAUCCUGUGUGUGUUCCUGCUCUGAGGACUUAAAGGUAAAAUGAUUUAAUUAGGUGAUAGUAUUACCUGGUAUUUGUUUGAGCUGAGUGGAUUAUAGGCUCUUACUCUUCUAGCUAGUCUAAAUUUUAUUCUUGAACCAAACAAGCAGGUAUUUAGACUGCAUUGUUUUAGUUCAUAGUUGACUCGUUUCUAUCAAAUGGUGCUUUGGUGUCAUGUCAUUGGUAUAAAUUGAUUGAUCUUAAAAGACAUAUUGGCAAACUAUCUUUGCACUUAUUAUAGAGAUAUUUUUGGGACAUGGUUAAAUAAAUUCUAAGUGUCUUUUUGAUGAGG
rnacentral:lncRNA from 13 species